AGGGGGAAACCGCGCUGAGCGUUA
rnacentral:miRNA from 1 species